rnacentral:rRNA from 1 species
CAUGCAAGUCGAACGCACUGACGUCGACCGAAGCUGCUUGCAGUGGACGUUGAUUGACGUGAGUGGCGGACGGGUGAGUAACACGUGGGUAACCUACCCUUAAGUGGGGGAUAACAUUUGGAAACAGAUGCUAAUACCGCAUAACCAUUCAGACCACAUGGUCUGAAUGUAAAAGACGGCCUUUGGCUGUCACUUUUGGACGGACCCGCGGCGUAUUAGUUAGUUGGUAAGGUAACGGCUUACCAAGACAAUGAUACGUAGCCGACCUGAGAGGGUAAUCGGCCACAUUGGGACUGAGACACGGCCCAAACUCCUACGGGAGGCAGCAGUAGGGAAUCUUCCACAAUGGACGAAAGUCUGAUGGAGCAACGCCGCGUGAGUGAAGAAGGUUUUAGGAUCGUAAAACUCUGUUGUUGGAGAAGAACAGGGACUAGAGUAACUGUUAGUCCUUUGACGGUAUCCAACCAGAAAGCCACGGCUAACUACGUGCCAGCAGCCGCGGUAAUACGUAGGUGGCAAGCGUUGUCCGGAUUUAUUGGGCGUAAAGCGAGCGCAGGCGGUUUUUUAAGUCUGAUGUGAAAGCCUUCGGCUUAACCGAAGAAGUGCAUUAGAAACUGGAAAACUUGAGUGCAGAAGAGGACAGUGGAACUCCAUGUGUAGCGGU